rnacentral:lncRNA from 1 species
UUUUUUUUUUUUUUUUUUUUUUCAUUUUUGGCUAUCCCACAGCAUAUUGAGUUUCCGGGCCAGGGAUCAGAUCCAGGCUGCAGUCUCGACCUAAGCUGAAGCUUCAGCAAUGACGGAUCCUUAACCCAUGGUGCUGGACUGGGGUCAAACCUGCUCACCAAUGCUCCCAAGACACCGCCAAUAGCCUUGCACCACAGUGGGAGAUCCAAUUUUUAGAUUUUUUUAUUCUCGCAUUCUUUUUUUUUUUUUUUCCUUUCUUUUUUGCCUUUCUGCCAUCUCUUGGGCCGCUCCUGCAGCACGUGGAGGUUCCCAGGCCAGGGGUCCAAUCGGAGCUGUAGCCGCCAGCCUACGCCAGAGCCACAGCAAUGCGGGAUCGUCAACCCACCGAGCAAGGGCAGGGAUCAAACCCGCAACCUCAUGGUUCCCAGUCGGACUCGUCAACCACUGCGCCACGACAGGGAACUCCGUUCUCGCAUUCUCAAAUUAUUCUGGAGUCUUAACAGGCUGUCCUUGUGUACAUUUUCAUGAAUCUGAUUUCUCACGUGCGGUAUGCUAACAGUUAUUUACAAAAAAAAGUUAACAAGUAAGUUUUCCAGUCUUUAGACAAUUCCUGAUUUGCUUUUAUGUGAAAUUGAGUCCAGACAUCAGCACAGUACAGGGCACUUUUCUUUGAGUCCUUCUCUGCCUGUAUAAGUACUUUUUAUGAGACUGUGCUCCUUGUACUGAUGGUGGUUUCUCCUGCUGCUCAGCGGUGGAACAGGUAGGUCAGUUGUGAACCCAGCUCUGUUGGCUGUAGUAAUUGUUCCUUUGGGAUGAGUCAUUCAGAUGACCUAAGUCUUUUGACACCUCUAUGUCAGUGCUGGAGAAUUAAAAAAAGAAAAAGCUUUGUAAUUAUAUAAAAAAGCAUCUGAAAAAUAAUCUUGUCAGAGGCCUCAGAGCCAUUACAGGAGCACAGGGGGAAAUGUGGGAUUAAGCCCUGAUUUCUUUGAUAAACAUGGUGCCCUACCUGGCAAGGUUGGCUCAACCUCCAGGGAGCUCUUCUGUGGCAGUCUCUUGGCACUGGCUUGAAUGAAUCAGGAUGAAAUUGCCCAAUUAUUGAAGUGGAUGGCUUGAGGGAAGGUUUUUGGCUCCUCAAACCACCUGUCACACAAAACUAGUAAUGAAGCAAAACUAGUGGUGGAAUCUGCCCAGGAUCUGAUUUGCAUCAAGGACAGAAAGGCUCCUGCCACCAAGCCCAGGAUCUUGUUUUCCUGAGAUAGGUCCCGGAAGAUUUGUCAGUGAUCUCCCAGCCAGCAGGAUUUGGAGAGUCACUGGGUAGCUUUCCGUGAACUUAACUUCUCUUUAGUAGGAAAGACCAGUCUUUUCCCUCUUGUCACGGUUGGAAUGAACCCUGUUUUGUUCCUCUCAGUGAACCCACUGGCGUUGAUGUGCUUGUCUUUUCCCUCUAAUAAGCCUCUCCACUCAUUCUCUUGUUGGUUGGUUACCUCUGCGGGAGGAGUUUGUUCAUUGAGUGUCUGCAUGUUUAGCUCAAAUCCAGCCUUUUACCUGUAGUGCCCUAAAUUGUCAUGUCAUUUUGCCUUUUGAGUUGCUUGUUAGAAACACUGGGGGCAUGUAUGCCCUGAGAACCACAGGCAGCAGAACAGGUUGGCUCUUUCCAGUUGUCCCUAGAUAUGCGGUGGCUGUGGAGCUCGCUGUCUUUCAGUGAAGGAAGGAUGCUCUUGAGGAAAAGAAAUGGAUGUGAACAACCCUUACCCCUGUGACCGCACCCCCCCAAACUUCCCAGCAGCUGUAUUUUAUGUCAUUCUCCCUGUUGACUGUCGUCCUGUGUGCUGAGGCGCUGUGUCUCUGAGUGACCUUCAGAGGGACUUUAAUCUCUUGAGGACAGCGAGUGACCCAGAGGUUGUCCUUGCAGUGCUGGCCCUCCCUGAACAGAGCCCCACCUGCCCAGAAGUUCGCGUUUCAAAAGGGCCCCUGAACCCCAUAAAUAGGCCUCCCCAGAGCCCUCACUCAGGGCUGUGUGAGCUCGCAGCACUUUUCAUUCUAGACCCUGUGUCCCGGGGUUUUCUAGCUUUCAGAGGGGGUCAGGUCAGCCGGAACGGUGCGGAUAGAGACCACCGAGGCCCAGGCGCUGAUCGCAAAUAGCGAAUGCCUUUCUUCACUUAAUGGACCCUUUAUCGCUCUCGCUCUCUCACUCUUUUUUUUUUUUUUAAAUCCCUCUUUUUCUCAUUUCUUCCUUUUUCCUGCAUUCCUCUUUUGUCUCUUCUCUGACCACUUAAGAGUGACAAUCUCAUGACCAUUGUUGGAGUUGGCUGGAGGCAGUCAGAGACCAGAGUUUGAUUUUGGGGGCAGGAAUUUGGGGGGCUGCUCCCUGUGAGAAUCUAGACUGUGCAUUGGCACCUGAGGACAGUCCUAGACUGGGAGGGAAGUGCUGGAGCCCCCGCCCCUCCCAGGUCCCUCGUGUCUGAGUCACCUUCCAUGUGUCCCCCCCACUGUGCUAUUCACUUGGCAGGGGCCCUGACUCUGAGAGUCUUUUUCUCCUCGACCCCUGUUUAACCCCAGUUUUAUCUAAGGUAACAUUUGCAUUUUAUGAUGAUUUUAAUAGACUUGGUUUAACAGAUAAACCACAUAGUUCUUAUUUUGGGGGGUAAUUUAAUUCCUCCCCCUAAACUGUGGUGUUAUUAUUCAUUGUAAUUCAGUUUGACUCACAGUCACCCUUGCAUCGUGUAGUUUCUUCCUGAUACCUUAUUUUCGAAGCUGUAAUUUACAUCAGGGCUAAAUCUUACUCAUCAUGUUUGUGUUCCCAGUGCCCAGUACACAGUUGGUGCUUACUAAAUGUCUGCUGGAUGAAUAAACACGUACACGCACCUCCCCACAUCCCAGAGCAGGAGGUUGCUGGAAGGUAAUGACGGUUAGGUCAGCAAACGUGGGCUGGAGGCCCAGGUGUUUAUAUGGCUAAGGUCCUUUCCUGUAGAAAGUCAUGGAAGGAAGGGAAGGGAGAAGAGAGACAGCCUUUUUGCAGCCACCACUGCCUGCAUGUGCGUGGAAAGGGGCACAGACAGCAGCGGAGAAGGAUGGGGGAGGUAGAAGCAGCGUCUCUUGUCCUCAUUUGGUUGAGUUCACGUUGCUGCUAUUGAUUUGCUUACUCUUGUUUACUGUUGAUAAUUAGUUGCUUCUCCAGACCCACUGUCUCACACUUGGACUUGUCUCCUAGGAAACCCCCGUCUCUAGACCGGCCUCCAUCCCUGUGGACCCUCAUCAGUAUUUGCCAGCUGAUAACUGUAUUUGAUCAGUCGCAGAGGAGGGUGAAGAAGCCUCUUCUCAAGAUUUCCUUUGAGCUUUAAGAUCUGGUUGCCUUUGAGUAUUUUUAUCUCAGUGAGUUGAUUUCCCAGUGAGUAGACUGUGGAAAGGUGGUGUUGGGGAAAGGGAGCCUGCUAAGAUUUUCUAAGCUCUUGGGAAUGUUUUUACAGGAGAGCUUUCCAUGAGCCCAUCGAGAAUGUUUCAGGCCCUUCUCCGUCUUCCCUUUUCCAUACUGUGCUUCCAGUUCUGAGACGUGCCCUUCCAUCCCAUUUAAGGAUUUAGUUUUGUGAGUCUGAAAACAGGCCACAGGGCAUUUUAAAAUUAUACACAUCAAUAUGAGGCCAACCCAGUUUUUCAUAAAUAGGUCAAGAUGUUUCUACAAAGUAGGGUUUCAAAAAGAUAUUUUAAGGAAAGAUGACCAAUGCUCAAAGCUCAACUCUUGGUGGGGCCUGAGAAUCCUAGCCAGGAAGAGAUGCUGAUUUCUGGGGCCUGCCUUGAAUGGCUUGCCAGGGGCCACAUACAUGAAUCAUGCAGGGAGAGCCAGCUGUGGGCCAGAGGCGCCGGCCCCGGUGUGCAAGGGGAGGGCCAGCUGCAGACCUGUAAGGAGCUCCUGGUCCCAGGGAGCAGUGGUGUUCCACCAAGGAGGGUAAUGGAGGCAGGUUUUUUCAGUCGAAUAAGUCUUCUUGCAUUUACUUAACUACCCAACAUUUAUUUCUCACUUACAGGGAGAGACUUAAAUCUCUCCCCUAGGUCCUUUGUUUUGGCGGUUACACUUUUUAGCUCUCAGAAUCAACUGAUAAUAGUGUGAUCGUGGGAAGGUAUCCAAACCUUAGCAAAUCUGGAAGGAAAGAAACUGUGGUGGGAUCUGCAGGGUGUUCUUUAUUUUUAUCUGGGAGAAUAGAUACCCUUGAAGAAUGGUUAUAAUUUCUGGCAUGAUCCUUGGAAAAGUUUCUAGGACUCUUAUCUUCUGUUUGUAAAAUUGAAAAGAAGUUUGAAUAGCUGUGAAAACCAGCUGUGUUCAUAGGUGUAAACAUUCACAGCAUCACACCCUAGCAUAUCAUUCUGAAGUCAGUAAAAAGCUUUAUCAACGAUUUCAUGGGCCUUAUCCUCCAUGAAGAGUGCACGUGCCACGUGUCAACUCACCGUUUUCUGUGUUAUUAACAUAGCCUCAUGUAAGAGAUACACUUUAAGUUUACCCUAAAUUCCCCCAUAUAGGGAGGGCCCACGUAGGUAAACUACUUAGACACUCUCCACAAAUAAUGUUAUUCAUCACAGUUUUAAAAUAGGAGAUUCUCCAGUGUAUCUGAAUAUUUGGCAAUGGAAUAUGACUUGUAUAGCCUGGUGUAAAUCUCUUCAUUUUUUUCCUUGUACUUGAUUUUCAAGAGGGUUGAUUUCUAAUUUAUUGCUUCUCCUUAGUAGGAUAACUUGCUUUCAUGUUGCUUUGGGUGCUGUUUUCUGGCCCUGGAAGGUGCCUGUUCUUGCCUGUCUGCUCCUGUUCCUUUGAGUCAGCCUUCAGUUUGUUGGAUUUAUUUGAGCUCUUUGACUUACUGGUGGGUUCCAGGGCUUAAGAGUUCAUGCCACCAUUUGCAGUAGAAAUGUUUAAAUUCAGGUUUCUGUAUAUCCGUCUUUCUUAUUUUAAUUACUGGUCUGUGUUUCAGCCUGAUUUUUGGAAUAACCUCUGUUGAAACGCAAAGUUAUUGUUGGAAAUAUCACAAGGAAACCCAGGUCUGUCUGGGGUGCCUCUCUUGGGGCAGGCUGCGGCCGUGGCCUUUGCCCUCAAAGUGGGAAGAGAGCCUUGGAGCAGGGAGGCCUUUGCCAGUUUCCCACUCAAAUCUGAAAGCCCACGUUCACUAGUGACCUCUGCAGCCAGUGUCCUCAGGGUCACUACUUAGCGGGUUAGGCUUUUGACUUCUGCGGUUUGAUUUUUAUUUUUUAAUUAGGUUAUUUGAUGUGAAUGCAUGGAUUAAUUUUCUUGUUCUUUGUGUAGGACUGAAUUAAAGGGAAAUUUAAGACAUCCUGGUCUGCUGUUCAUCACUUCUGUUACCUUCUUAGUGGGUAUUAAGACUGACUUGUGGAGUUCCUAUCGUGGAGCAGUGGUUAACGAAUCCGACUAGGAACCAUGAGGUUGCAGGUUCGAUCUCUGGCCUUGCUCAGUGGGUUAAGGAUCCAGCGUUGCUGUGAUCUGUGGGGUAGGUUGCAGACGCGGCUUGGAUCCCAUGUUGCUGUGGCUCUGGCGUAGCCCAGCGGCUACAGCUCCGAUUUGACCCCUAGCCUGAGAACCUCCACAUGCCAUGGGAAGCGGCCCUAGAAAAGGCAAAAAGACAAAAAAAAAAAAAAAAAAAAAAAA